UACAGAGGCCUCGAGCGUUAGGCGGAAUCACUGGGCUUAAAGCGUGUGUAGGCGGAGUGCUAAGUACCUUGUGAAAUCCCACAGCUCAACUGUGGAAUUGCUUGGUAUACUGGCAUUCUUGAGCCAUCUAGGGGCGAGCGGAACAAAUGGUGGAGCGGUGAAAUGCGUAGAUAUCAUUUGGAACGCCAACGGUGAAAACAGCUCGCUGGGGAUGAUGCUGACGCUGAGACACGAAAGCCAGGGGAGCAAACGGGG
rnacentral:rRNA from 1 species